CAGCCGCCGCGGUAAUACCAGCACCCCGAGUGGUCGGGACGAUUAUUGGGCCUAAAGCAUCCGUAGCCGGUACUGCAAGUCUUCCGUUAAAUCCACCUGCUUAACAGUUGAGCUGCGGGGGAUACUACAGCGCUAGGAGGCGGGAGAGGCAAGCGGUACUCAAUGGGUAGGGGUAAAAUCCGCUGAUCCAUUGAAGACCACCAGUGGCGAAGGCGGCUUGCCAGAACGCGCUCGACGGUGAGGGAUGAAAGCUGGGGGAGCAAACCGGAUUAGAUACCCGGGCAAUCCCAGCUGUAAACGAUGCAGGCUCGGUGAUGGGCUGGCCUUGUGCCAACCCAGUGCCGCAGGGAAGUCGUUAAGUCUGCCGCCUGGGGAGUACGGUCGCAAGACUGAAACUUAAAGUAAUUGGCGGGUGAGCAC
rnacentral:rRNA from 2 species